CCUACGGGUGGCAGCAGUGAGGAAUAUUGGUCAAUGGGCGCUAGCCUGAACCAGCCAAGUCGCGUGAAGGAUGACUGCCCUAUGGAUUGUAAACUUCUUUUAUAUGGGAAUAAAGUGCAGUAUGUAUACUGCUUUGCAUGUACCUGAUGAAUAAGGAUCGGCUAACUCCGUGCCAGCAGCCGCGGUAAUACGGAGGAUCCGGGCGUUAUCCGGAUUUAUUGGGUUUAAAGGGUGCGUAGGCGGGUUGUUAAGUCAGUUGUGAAAGUUUGCGGCUCAACCGUAAUAGUGCAGUUGAAACUGGCAUUCUUGAGUACAGGAGAGGUAUGCGGAAUGCGUGGUGUAGCGGUGAAAUGCGUAGAUAUCACGAAGAACUCCGAUUGCGAAGGCAGCCUGCUGGACUGUAACUGACGCUGAUGCUCGAAAGUGUGGGUAUCAAACAGGAUUAGAUACCCCAGUAGUC
rnacentral:rRNA from 1 species